AGCUCUUACCCUGCCUGUGGAGUCUGCACACUGCUGUUAAAAAGUUCAGCUACAGAUUUUCUUCUCCCUGUGUAGUUUUCUUACCCUCUGCUUUUCUGGCUGCUCUCCUGAUGGAUCCCUGUGGUGCCAGGCUGGAAUGGGCUGCUUAGGGACCCAGUGAGCUCCCAGAGUCUUUCUGCUGCUUCCUCUACCCCUAUGUUUUGCUUGGCCCUUUAAAUUGACUCAGCUCCAGUUUCCUACCAUAGGAACUUCUUGAAGAAUCAUUCUAAUGUCCAUUGUGUGACAUCUGCACCACACUGAUCUGACAAAUGAAAGUGGUGAGACGCAUCUACUGGCUGGCUGAGACCAAAAAAUACCAGGACAUGGAUGAACCUGGAAACCAUCAUUCUCAGCAAACUGACACAAGAACAGAAAAUCAACACUGCAUAUUCUCACUCAUAGGUGGGUGUUGAACAAUGAGAACACGUGGACACAGGGAGGGGAGCAUCACACAGUGGGGUCUG
rnacentral:lncRNA from 13 species